GACGUAGGAGGCAAGCGUUAUCCGGAGUUACUGGGCGUAAAGCGCGUGUAGGCGGGCGUGUAAGUGGUUCGUGAAAUAUCCGGGCUAAACUCGGGUAGGUCGAAUCAGACUGCAUGUCUGGAGGCGGGUAGAGGGGUGCGGAAUUCCGGGAGUAGCGGUGAAAUGUGUAGAUAUCCGGAGGAACACCAGAGGUGCAGACGGCGCCCUGGGCCCGACCUGACGCUGAGACGCGAAAGCUUGGGGAGCGAACGGG
rnacentral:rRNA from 1 species